CCUACGGGGUGCAGCAGUGGGGAAUAUUGCACAAUGGGGGAAACCCUGAUGCAGCGACGCCGCGUGAGCGAUGAAGUAUUUCGGUAUGUAAAGCUCUAUCAGCAGGGAAGAAAAUGACGGUACCUGACUAAGAAGCCCCGGCUAACUACGUGCCAGCCGCCGCGGUAAUACGUAGGGGGCAAGCGUGAUCCGGAUUUACUGGGUGUAAAGGGAGCGUAGACGGCGGUGCAAGCCAGCUGUGAAAGCCCGGGGCUCAACCCCGGGACUGCAUUUGGAACUGUGCUGCUAGAGUGUCGGAGAGCCAGUCGGCAUUCCUAGUGUAGCGGUGAAAUGCGUAGAUAUUAGGAGGAACACCAGUGGCGAAGGCGGCCUGCUGGACGAUGACUGACGUUGAGGCUCGAACGCGUGGGGAGCAAACAGGAUUAGAUACCCCGGUAGUC
rnacentral:rRNA from 1 species